AGCCAGUGAGGUCCAGGGUCACGCCGAGAGGCCGGAGGGGACUCCAGGAAGCCUCGAGAAGACGGCCCCGGGCCGCGGCCACUUCUCCGCGGGGAAGUGGACACCUACUUUGCGACCCGGCUUGCGCGGAGCCCCCUCCGGGGUCGCGAGCGUGGGGGUGCGUGGAUGGCACUCUGCGAUGGCGCAUCCACAGAGCUGAGGACGUGGAAGGCGAGCAGAGCUGCGGCGCCCGCGCCGGGGCGGGGGCCUGCGGGGCGGUCCUGCCUUGUGGACUCCGACUCGGGGCUGCGGGAGGCCCUGCACCGCUCGGCCGCCCGGCCCAGUCCUCCUACCUCUCCGCUCACUUUGCCGCCCCAGCUUCUCCCCUCCCCCCGCAUCCCUGUCCCCUGGCUUCUCUCUGCGACGCCUUUGCCCGACAGAAAGCCAGCAGGAAAGCGUCGCCGAGGGUCUGUCCACGGAUCUUUCGGAUCCAAGUGUUCGGGAUGAGACUGGCCGAUCCGGGAAUCGCAUCCAGCGCCCACACCCCGCAAACUCGUGGGCAGUUGCGGGUGCAAGAGGCCGCGGAGGGGCGACGCGCCCGCAGGAACCCCUCCUUGCGCAUCUCCGGCGCCCCAGCUUCAGCCUAUUCUCGCCCGGACCCUUGGUUUAUUUGGUGAAAUCUGGGAACGUGGAGAGGAUAGAAGAGCAGUUUUUCUUUCUUUCCUUUUUUCUUUUUAACUAAAUGUGCGUGUUAACUCAUCGUUUCUUGGAUAUAAGUGUCCUCAGCGAAUUCUGGAUUCUUGGGGAAAACAUACGAGCACUGAGCGGGACAGGAACACGCCAACUUUGGUUCCAGUGCCAUCUGCAGUAAAUUCCUUUGCUUUGCUCUUCCCUCCUCCGCGUCCUGGAGAUGGAGGCCCCCAGGGGCUGCCCCAGGACUCCAGCACACCCAGGACCUGGAGCCGGGGAGUAGAGCUGAGGGCGGGGAGGGCGCGGGGGAGGGGAGGCGGGCUGCAGGCCCCGGGCGUGGAGUUUACCUGCACCGUGGGAACCUCCCUUCCCCCGGGCGCGCCGCCUUGGCUCCGCCCUGCGGGGCCCCGCCCCAGGGAAGCCGGGGCUGCUGUCGGGCCGCCGCAGGGGAAGCUCGCCUGCGCAGGUGUCGCAGGGUCACACCCGCCCCGGGGGUUGCAAACCACAAGCGAAAGUCGAGAGGGGCUGGAGCUUUUCCUCUAAUCCGUUUUACACUGUGAAAACCGCAAAGCUGUCGCCUAGGCGGCCACUUUUUAAUUGGGAGGCAAACAGACGAAACGCCAAAACAAAUGCGCAAGCUGACUUUCUUUCCGGAUGGUUUUCCUUCUCAACGAAACGCCCGCUCUCUGGUGAAAGGGAGGCCGAUCUGCGCUCACGUUUGCUCGCUUCGGGGCCUGGCCUGGGGCGCACGGGAGCCCGCGCCCCCAGCGCGUGGGGCAGCUCGGACUGCACCCCUCUCCCGGCGCUUUUCCCCCAGCCUCGGUCGUCCCCCGCGUCCCUCCUCGCCAUCCGCUCCAUGCACGCCCCAUCCCGCAAGCUCCACGCAAGCUUUCUCGCUCGCGCUGCAGAGCAGAUGUGGGUGCUUGGGUGUUGGGGGCUCCGAGCGCGUUGAAUUGGCUCUAAUUCAGAUUCCUCCCGGGGCGGGAAGAGUAGGGGUUUGGGCCGCCAAACCCGGGGCUCGGAGACCUCCAAGCUGACCAGAAGAAGCACUUGCAGUCGCGCUUCAAGUCUCGCAGUUUUCCCUGGGGAAAAGCAGAAGUUGGUGGACACACUGCACGGCGCCAGAGCAAACUCUGAACUUACCGCGCGCCCUGCUGGGGUGCUCAGCCCCUCGGGGGAACCCCAGAGAAGCGAGGAGAGCAGGGAGGUGGGGAGGCCGCCCAGGUCAGGCGGGCCGAGUCCCAGGAUUGUGGGUGUCCC
ensembl:lncRNA